ACCUCAGCCUCCCAAGUAGUUGGGACUACAGCUUCUUCGAUGACUUGCCUCACUGCCUUCUUCAAACUGUUGGCCCGAAGCAUUAUUUCCCUUGGUCUGACGGCUUUCUGGGAGGCAGGUUUUGUAAUGUCAUCUGCGAGCUGUUCCUUGCUUUCACCUAAGGAUUCUUCACUCGAAGAUUCCACAGCAUCUUCCUCCACAAUGAGAGGGCCAAUGCCCGGGAGGACGGGAGCAGCCUGGGAAUCUGCGUGCAGAGCCUGGAGCAGUUGUUCAAGCUUCUCGUUUAGGACUGAACACUGAGCAAACCAAAAUACGGCAAUGUUUAGAAAACAAAACAAAAAGAAAUAAGAUCGGCAGACAAAAUACAAGAAAUUUUUAUGUAAGAUAUUUUAAAGUUUAAUCACUAAAGAGAAAAAUACUAAAAUUCAAAUGGCUAUCACCUGUAAUUUUGUAGAUGUUUGGAUCAGGAAGCACCUAAUUGUAAAAUCUCCAUUUAGUAGAGAUAGAAAAUAAUAAUUUAAAUGAAUGAUUUUUGAUUUAGAGGGAAGAUGUAUAUGUUGAUGUCUACUAAAUAUUAAUAAUUUAUAAUUUUUAAAAAGUUAGCACAA